rnacentral:rRNA from 1 species
UCGAGCGGCGAACGGGUGAGUAACACGUGAGCAACCUGCCCUAGGCUUUGGGAUAACCCUCGGAAACGGGGGCUAAUACCGAAUAGGACCUCUGACCGCAUGGUUGGUGGUGGAAAGUUUUUCGGCCUGGGAUGGGCUCGCGGCCUAUCAGCUUGUUGGUGGGGUGAUGGCCUACCAAGGCGACGACGGGUAGCCGGCCUGAGAGGGCGACCGGCCACACUGGGACUGAGACACGGCCCAGACUCCUACGGGAGGCAGCAGUGGGGAAUAUUGCACAAUGGGCGGAAGCCUGAUGCAGCGACGCCGCGUGAGGGAUGACGGCCUUCGGGUUGUAAACCUCUUUCAGCAGGGACGAAGCGUAAGUGACGGUACCUGCAGAAGAAGCGCCGGCCAACUACGUGCCAGCAGCCGCGGUAAGACGUAGGGCGCGAGCGUUGUCCGGAUUUAUUGGGCGUAAAGAGCUCGUAGGCGGCUUGUCGCGUCGACUGUGAAAACCCGCAGCUCAACUGCGGGCCUGCAGUCGAUACGGGCAGGCUAGAGUUCGGUAGGGGAGACUGGAAUUCCUGGUGUAGCGGUGAAAUGCGCAGAUAUCAGGAGGAACACCGGUGGCGAAAGCGGGUCUCUGGGCCGAUACUGACGC